GCGGCCGCCUCCUCUCCUCCGCGCCGCGCCGCUGGCGCUGGCGCUGGCAGCACCUGCGUGCUCGGGGCCCUCUGCGGCCGCCGCUGCUGCUCCUCCCUGCCCGACGCACCUGCCCCGUCGUCCCCUGCACGUCCGACUUUAAACUGGACAGCCCAGCGAAUUCAGCGACUAAUGGUCUAUCAGUCUACCAGUUUCAGUGAUCUUUCAGAACUGGCGAGAGCAAGUACUAGUAACCACUAUUUUGUCCGUAGCUGUUGUUGCCUACUCGCGCUGUCUGCUUCCUCUGCUAUCUUCUGACAGCAUCGGAGUACUAACAAACGAUUGCUGAUUAACUCUGAUGAGCAGUACUGUUAAGUGGACGGGUAACUAUAAGCAGGAGUGAUUGAUGUGGCAACGUGCGCGUAUUGAAAAGGACGUGUCGAAUCACCUGAGACAAAACUGCAGCAUAUCUCCGUCUCCGGGAUCGUGGUAUUCAAAUCCUGCCGGAGAUCUCCGUCGCCGCCGCCUCCGUCGGCCUUAGAAUCCAAGAAGCUCUGCAGGCCGAGAACAACCGGACAAGCGACAACGCUACAAGUUAGAAAAGAGGAAGAAGACAAGGGCGCCACUGCGACGAGACAUGACUGCGCCAACUCUUUUGUUUGUUUAUCGCUCGGCGCGACGGCGAAGCUACAGCCUUUUCGCUUCGUUUGGUGAAUCGAUAUCGACACUGUAACUAGAGUACUAGAAGAUGGUCAUGGACCUGCAUUGCAUUUGCAUUUGCUAUUGGCAACAAAAUAAAGAACAACAGCCUACGCGCAUAGCUUCUCUGUGAGUUGCCAAAGUUUCA